CUCGUUGACAUUCCAGCCCUUGAAACAAGGUCUUGGUUCCUUUCUCAUUUCAGGAUUUCGUUUUGGGGGAGCCGGAACACCUGUCCGCUGAUCGCCUGCCACUCCGCAUCUGGGCCCGGCUGACAGGCUUGUCUGCUUUGACUAAUGAUGUGAUUGAUGGACAAAAUAAGGAAGAACAUACAAAAAAACAUUUCUGUCUGGUCUGGUGUGUCAGCAAGCCUUCAUCAAGUGGCUGCUGAAGGCUAAACAUGUGGAAAAUGCCACAGAGCUGAUGCCAGGAUCAUCUCACUCAGCAAACCGAGUAUUCAUAACCUCGCUCCGAUGGCCUGCUGUGGAUGGGGUGACAUUCAUGAGAAUUACACAUGCCACGCUGUCGCCUCUUUGUGCAUAUAAUAAUGAUCUGAAAAUCAGUUCUGGCUGGAACACGAGGGAGGCAAAGAACUGCUUCACUCGGAUAACAAGACACGUAGAGGCUGCUAUCCAGGGCCAGCCGGGAGGCUUCCUGGAGACUCUUUCUCUGCUCCAAGCAAAUGUCGUCUUGGCUGCCUGUUCCCUGAAGCGCAGGGCCUGGGGACUCUGAAAACUGCUCCCAGAUACUUCAC
rnacentral:lncRNA from 1 species